GAUGAACGCUGGCGGCGUGCCUAAUACAUGCAAGUCGAGCGAACAGACGAGGAGCUUGCUCCUCUGACGUUGGCGGCGGACGGGUGAGUAACACGUGGAUAACCUACCUAUAAGACUGGGAUAACUUCGGGAAACCGGAGCUAAUACCGGAUAAUAUAUUGAACCGCAUGGUUCAAUAGUGAAAGACGGUUUUGCUGUCACUUAUAGAUGGAUCCGCGCCGCAUUAGCUAGUUGGUAAGGUAACGGCUUACCAAGGCAACGAUGCGUAGCCGACCUGAGAGGGUGAUCGGCCACACUGGAACUGAGACACGGUCCAGACUCCUACGGGAGGCAGCAGUAGGGAAUCUUCCGCAAUGGGCGAAAGCCUGACUGAGCAACGCCGCGUGAGUGAUGAAGGUCUUCGGAUCGUAAAACUCUGUUAUUAGGGAAGAACAAAUGUGUAAGUAACUAUGCACGUCUUGACGGUACCUAAUCAGAAAGCCACGGCUAACUACGUG
rnacentral:rRNA from 1 species